rnacentral:rRNA from 1 species
UGGGGAAUAUUGCACAAUGGGCGCAAGCCUGAUGCAGCCAUGCCGCGUGUAUGAAGAAGGCCUUCGGGUUGUAAAGUACUUUCAGCGGGGAGGAAGGCGAUAAGGUUAAUAACCUUGUCGAUUGACGUUACCCGCAGAAGAAGCACCGGCUAACUCCGUGCCAGCAGCCGCGGUAAUACGGAGGUUGCAAGCGUUAAUCGGAAUUACUGGGCGUAAAGCGCACGCAGGCGGUCUGUCAAGUCGGAUGUGAAAUCCCCGGGCUCAACCUGGGAACUGCAUUCGAAACUGGCAGGCUAGAGUCUUGUAGAGGGGGGUAGAAUUCCAGGUGUAGCGGUGAAAUGCGUAGAGAUCUGGAGGAAUACCGGUGGCGAAGGCGGCCCCCUGGACAAAGACUGACGCUCAGGUGCGAAAGCGUGGGGAGCAAACA